AUAUGAUGAUGAGGACAACUAGCACACAAUCUCUUAAACCUCUCCCAAUACAAGCUCUCACCAUGUUGUUGCCUAAUUCCAGAUAUAUCCUUUCUGAUUGC